AGAGCGAACGCUGGCGGCAGGCCUAACACAUGCAAGUCGAGCGCCCCGCAAGGGGAGCGGCAGACGGGAGAGUAACACGUGGGAACGUACCCUUUGGUUCGGAACAACACAGGGAAACUUGUGCUAAUACCGGAUAAGCCCUUACGGGGAAAGAUUUAUUGCCGAAGGAACGGCCCGCGUCCGAUUAGCUAGUUGGUGAGGUAAUGGCUCACCAAGGCGACGAUCGGUAGCUGGUCUGAGAGGAUGACCAGCAUCACUGGGACUGAGACACGGCCCAGACUCCUACGGGAGGCAGCAGUGGGGAAUAUUGGACAAUGGGCGCAAGCCUGAUCCAGCCAUGCCGCGUGGAUGAUGAAGGCCUUAGGGUUGUAAAGUUCCUUUUAACGGGGAAGAUAAUGACGGUACCGUAGAAUAAGCCCGGCUAACUUCGUGCCAGCAGCCGC
rnacentral:rRNA from 1 species